UACGGAGGGUGCAAGCGUUAUCCGGAUUUACUGGGCUUAAAGGGUGCGUAGGUGGGUAGGUAAGUCAGUGGUGAAAUCUUCGAGCUUAACUCGGAAACUGCCAUUGAUACUAUUUAUCUUGAAUACUUUGGAGGUAAGCGGAAUAUGUCAUGUAGCGGUGAAAUGCUUAGAUAUGACAUAGAACACCAAUUGCGAAGGCAGCUUACUACACAGUUAUUGACACUGAGGCACGAAAGCGUGGGGAUCAAACAGG
rnacentral:rRNA from 1 species